rnacentral:rRNA from 1 species
CAAUAGCGUAUAUUAAAGUUGUUGCAGUUAAAAGCUCGUAGUUGGAUUUCGGAGUGGGCCAGUUGGUCCGCCGCAAGGUGUGUUACUGACUGGUUUGCUCUUCUUCGCAAAGACUGCGUGUGCCCUUAAAUGAGUGUGCGUAGGAUUUACGAUCGUUUUACAAUUUGAAAAAAGUUAUGAAGUGUUCGAAAUGCUAGGCCUUAAUUGCUUGAAUACAUGAGCAUGGAAUAAUGGAAUAGGACUUUGGUCCCAUUUUGUUGGUUUCUAGGGCCGAAGUAAUGAUUAAGAGGGACAAUUGGGGCAUCCGUAUUUCGUUGUCAGAGGUGAAAUUCUUGGAUUUACGAAAGACGAACAACUGCGAAAGCACUUGCCAAGAGUGUUUUCAUUAAUCAAGAACGAAAGUUAGAGGAUCGAAGAUGAUUAGAU